UGCCUAACCUGCAAGUCGAACGAACCCUUCGGGGUUAGUGGCGCACGGGUGCGUAACGCGUGGGAACCUGCCUUUAGGUUCGGAAUAACUCAGAGAAAUUUGAGCUAAUACCGGAUAAUGUCUUCGGACCAAAGAUUUAUCGCCUUUAGAUGGGCCCGCGUUAGAUUAGAUAGUUGGUGGGGUAAUGGCCUACCAAGUCGACGAUCUAUAGCUGGUCUGAGAGGAUGAUCAGCCACACUGGGACUGAGACACGGCCCAGACUCCUACGGGAGGCAGCAGUGGGGAAUAUUGGACAAUGGGCGAAAGCCUGAUCCACAAUGCCCGCGUGAGUGAUGAAGGCCUUAGGGUUGUAAAGCUCUUUUCCAGGGAUGAUAAUGACAGUCCUGGAGA
rnacentral:rRNA from 1 species